GGCGACAUGGCCGAGUGGUAAGGCAGGGGACUGCCAAAUCCUUUUUUCCCCAGUUCAAAUCGGGUGUCGCCU